rnacentral:rRNA from 1 species
ACGGAGGUUGCAAGCGUUGUUCGGAAUGACUGGGCGUAAAGGGAGCGCAGGCGGUUUGAUAAGUCUGGAGUGAAAGCCCGGGGCUCAACCCCGGCGGGUCUUUGGAUACUGUCAAGCUAGAGUACGGAAGAGGAGAGUGGAAUUCCAGGUGUAGCGGUGAAAUGCGUAGAUAUCUGGAGGAACACCGGUGGCGAAAGCGGCUCUCUGGUCCGAUACUGACGCUCAUGCUCGAAAGCGUGGGGAGCAAACGG